GACGAACGCUGGCGGCGUGCUUAACACAUGCAAGUCGAACGGUGAAGCGCCUUCCUUUUUGGUGGGUGUGGAUGAGUGGCGAACGGGUGAGUAACACGUGAGUAACCUGCCCCCUUCUUCUGGAUAACCGCAUGAAAGUGUGGCUAAUACGGGAUAUUCUGGGUCUGUCGCAUGAUGGGUCUGGGAAAGAUAGUGUUUCGGUGGGGGAUGGGCUCGCGGCCUAUCAGCUUGUUGGUGGGGUGAUGGCCUACCAAGGCGGUGACGAGUAGCCGGCCUGAGAGGAUCGGCGACAAUAGUAGUACUACGACGCCGCGACUCCUACGAGGGGAGGCAGUGGGGGAGAUUGUAGCAAGGGGGGAGGAAUGAUGCAGCAACGACGCGUCGUGAAAGAUGGCGGUCGUCGGGUAGUGAACCUCUGUCGCGAAUGAAGCAGGGCUGCCUAAUUUGUGGGUGUGUUGACGGUAGCUAAAUAAGAAGCGCCGGCUAACUACGUG
rnacentral:rRNA from 1 species